rnacentral:rRNA from 1 species
UACGUAGGGUGCGAGCGUUGUCCGGCAUUAUUGGGCGUAAAGGGCUCGUAGGCGGUCUGUCGCGUCGGUAGUGAAAACUCAGGGCUUAACCCUGAGCCUGCUUCCGAUACGGGCAGACUAGAGUGAUGUAGGGGAGACUGGAAUUCCUGGUGUAGCGGUGAAAUGCGCAGAUAUCAGGAGGAACACCGAUGGCGAAGGCAGGUCUCUGGGCAUUAACUGACGCGGAGGAGCGAAAGCAUGGGGAGCGAACAGG